rnacentral:rRNA from 1 species
GACGAACGCUGGCGGCGUGCCUAAUACAUGCAAGUCGAGCGAGCGGAACUAACAGAUUUACUUCGGUAAUGACGUUAGGAAAGCGAGCGGCGGAUGGGUGAGUAACACGUGGGGAACCUGCCCCAUAGUCUGGGAUACCACUUGGAAACAGGUGCUAAUACCGGAUAAGAAAGCAGAUCGCAUGAUCAGCUUUUAAAAGGCGGCGUAAGCUGUCGCUAUGGGAUGGCCCCGCGGUGCAUUAGCUAGUUGGUAAGGUAAAGGCUUACCAAGGCGAUGAUGCAUAGCCGGGUCGAGAGACUGAUCGGCCACAUUGGGACUGAGACACGGCCCAAACUCCUACGGGAGGCAGCAGUAGGGAAUCUUCCACAAUGGACGCAAGUCUGAUGGAGCAACGCCGCGUGAGUGAAGAAGGUUUUCGGAUCGUAAAGCUCUGUUGUUGGUGAAGAAGGAUAGAGGUAGUAACUGGCCUUUAUUUGACGGUAAUCAACCAGAAAGUCACGGCUAACUACGUG